CUUGAACGCUGGCCGCAGACCUAACACAUGCACGCCGAACGAGUGGCUGACGGGUGCGUCAUGUCUGGGAAACUGCCCGAUGAGGGGGGCUAACUACUGGAAACGGUAGCUAAUACAGCCUACCCUCGGAUGUGCCCAUAUGGGAUUCGCUAGUCGGUAUGGUAACGGCUCACCUAGGGGACGAUCCCUAGCUGGUCUGAGAGGAUGACCAGCCACGCUUGAACUGAUAGACGGUCCAGACUCCUACGGGCGGCAGCAGUGGGUAAUAUUGCACAAUGGGCGCAAGGCGGAUGCAGCCAUGCCGAGUGUAUGACGAAGGCCUUGGGUUUGUAAAGUACUUUCAGCGAGGAGGCGUAACUCGCAUAAGAAGCACCGGCCAACCCCGGGCCAGCAGCCGCGGUAAGUC
rnacentral:rRNA from 1 species